rnacentral:rRNA from 1 species
GACGAACGCUGGCGGCGUGCUUAACACAUGCAAGUCGAACGAAGAGCGAUGGAAGCUUGCUUCUAUCAAUCUUAGUGGCGAACGGGUGAGUGACGCGUAAUCAACCUGCCCUUCAGAGGGGGACAACAGUUGGAAACGACUGCUAAUACCGCAUACGAUCUAAUCUCGGCAUCGAGGAUAGAUGAAAGGUGGCCUCUACAUGUAAGCUAUCACUGAAGGAGGGGAUUGCGUCUGAUUAGCUAGUUGGAGGGGUAACGGCCCACCAAGGCGAUGAUCAGUAGCCGGUCUGAGAGGAUGAACGGCCACAUUGGGACUGAGACACGGCCCAGACUCCUACGGGAGGCAGCAGUGGGGAAUCUUCCGCAAUGGACGAAAGUCUGACGGAGCAACGCCGCGUGAGUGAUGACGGCCUUCGGGUUGUAAAGCUCUGUUAAUCGGGACGAAAGGCCUUCUUGCGAAUAGUGAGAAGGAUUGACGGUACCGGAAUAGAAAGCCACGGCUAACUACGUG